rnacentral:rRNA from 1 species
UGGGGAAUUUUGCACAAUGGGGGAAACCCUGAUGCAGCGACGCCGCGUGAUUUAGAAGGCCUUCGGGUUGUAAAAAUCUUUUCUAUGGGAAGAAAAUGACAGUACCAUAGGAAUAAGGACCGGCUAAUUACGUGCCAGCAGCCGCGGUAAUACGUAAGGUCCGAGCGUUGUCCGGAAUCAUUGGGCGUAAAGGGUACGUAGGCGGGUAAGCAAGUUAGAAGUGAAAUCCUAUAGCUCAACUAUAGUAAGCUUUUAAAACUGCUCAUCUUGAGGUAUGGAAGGGAAAGUGGAAUUCCUAGUGUGGCGGUGAAAUGCGCAGAUAUUAGGAGGAAUACCGGUGGCGAAGGCGACUUUCUGGCCAUAACCUGACGCUGAGGUACGAAAGCGUGGGUAGCAAACAGA